GCAGUCGAGCGGAUGACGGGAGCUUGCUCCUUGAUUCAGCGGCGGACGGGUGAGUAAUGCCUAGGAAUCUGCCUGGUAGUGGGGGACAACGUUUCGAAAGGAACGCUAAUACCGCAUACGUCCUACGGGAGAAAGCAGGGGACCUUCGGGCCUUGCGCUAUCAGAUGAGCCUAGGUCGGAUUAGCUAGUUGGUGGGGUAAUGGCUCACCAAGGCGACGAUCCGUAACUGGUCUGAGAGGAUGAUCAGUCACACUGGAACUGAGACACGGUCCAGACUCCUACGGGAGGCAGCAGUGGGGAAUAUUGGACAAUGGGCGAAAGCCUGAUCCAGCCAUGCCGCGUGUGUGAAGAAGGUCUUCGGAUUGUAAAGCACUUUAAGUUGGGAGGAAGGGCAGUAAGCUAAUACCUUGCUGUUUUGACGUUACCGACAGAAUAAGCACCGGCUAACUCUGUGCCAGCAGCCGCGGUAAUACAGAGGGUGCAAGCGUUAAUCGGAAUUACUGGGCGUAAAGCGCGCGUAGGUGG
rnacentral:rRNA from 1 species